GUGCUCAUUUUGGCAACACGUAGACUAAAAUUGGAAUGAUACAGAAAAGAUGAGCUUGGCCCCUGAGCAAGGAUGACACACAAAUUUGUGAAGCAUUCCAUAUUUUU
ensembl:snRNA U6 U6 spliceosomal RNA